CCUACGGGGUGCACCAGUGGGGAAUAUUGCACAAUGGGCGCAAGCCUGAUGCAGCCAUGCCGCGUGUAUGAAGAAGGCCUUCGGGUUGUAAAGUACUUUCAGCGGGGAGGAAGGCGAUAAGGUUAAUAACCUUGUCGUUUGACGUUACCCGCAGAAGAAGCACCGGCUAACUCCGUGCCAGCAGCCGCGGUAAUACGGAGGGUGCAAGCGUUAAUCGGAAUUACUGGGCGUAAAGCGCACGCAGGCGGUCUGUCAAGUCGGAUGUGAAAUCCCCGGGCUCAACCUGGGAACUGCAUUCGAAACUGGCAGGCUAGAGUCUUGUAGAGGGGGGUAGAAUUCCAGGUGUAGCGGUGAAAUGCGUAGAGAUCUGGAGGAAUACCGGUGGCGAAGGCGGCCCCCUGGAUAAAGACUGACGCUCAGGUGCGAAAGCGUGGGGAGCAAACAGGAUUAGAUACCCUCGUAGUC
rnacentral:rRNA from 1 species